rnacentral:rRNA from 1 species
AUACGAAGGGUGCAAGCGUUGUUCGGAAUCACUGGGCGUAAAGGGCUCGCAGGCGGUUUGGUAAGUCAGAUGUGAAAGCCCACGGCUCAACCGUGGAAGUGCAUUUGAAACUGUCAGACUUGAGUACUAGAGGGGAAAGUGGAAUUCCCGGUGUAGAGGUGAAAUUCGUAGAUAUCGGGAGGAAUACCGGUGGCGAAGGCGACUUUCUGGCUAGAUACUGACGCUGAGGCGCGAAAGCGUGGGGAGCAAACAGGAUUAGAAACCCUAGUAGUCC